rnacentral:rRNA from 1 species
UACGUAGGAGGCAAGCGUUGUCCGGAAUUAUUGGGCGUAAAGAGCUCGUAGGCGGUGUGUCACGUCGGCCGUGAAAACCUGCAGCUUAACUGUGGGCGUGCGGUCGAUACGGGCAUCACUGGAGUUAGGCAGGGGAGACUGGAAUUCCUGGUGUAGCGGUGAAAUGCGCAGAUAUCAGGAGGAACACCGGUGGCGAAGGCGGGUCUCUGGGACGGUACUGACGCUGAGGCGCGAAAGCGUGGGGAGCGAACAGG